UUGGGUUGGAAUCAGUCAGCUACAUCUGGCAACACUGCGUGGCGCAAUCCAUUCAAAUAGAUGUAACGUUAACACAGCAGUAGAUCUACAUUUUAAGAAAAGAAAACGAAACCUUUUUAGCCGCAUUACAAAUACAGUAGUUACCGUUGAACUUUAGUGGCACUUGUUGUGACGAAAAUAUGCGUGUUUUAAAAAAAGAUUAAUUUAAGAAGUAACCUGAAGCAGGUGAGGAGAUCAGCUGUGGUCCGCCGUCGGCGAGCGGCUCAUGACCAGACCAGUCGCUUUUUUCCACGAUCGCCGGGACGUUUACAACAUUUUAAAGCAGUUUCAGCUCAAAAUGGACCCACUACCAGUUUGUGAGCUGAUAUGCAGUGGAAAUUGACAUCCAGAAGGAAGUCAUAAAGGAAACACCAGCUGAUACAAGUGCUGCAGAGGAUCUUUGCAGAAUUCACUUUAAUAUUAGGAUGAGAUUUAAGAUCCGAGUUCAACGCUGCAUUGGACACACACUGCUCGUUUGAUUGAAAUUUUCAAAAAGAGGAGGAAAUUGCAGAAGAAAACUAGAUGAGAUUUUGAUGAGAACAAGUU